GUAGUUCCCAGGAGUGCGUUUUGAAGAUGAUGUUUUGAUUACUGAAGAUGGAUGUGUCAACUGGACUGAAGUUCCAAGAAGUGUCCAAGAAAUUGAAGAUUGGAUUGCCGGCGCUGAUGACGAUUCCAAAUACGAUUGAAUGAAUUUACAACAUUUUGAAGCUGCUAUUGAUAUCAUUUUUGUUUAUUUUGUUAAAAAUUAUGAAAAGUACAUUAUACAAUUGCAUAUUAUUAUCCUGUUUUCUUGCUUGUAUUGUUAAAAAUGCUGUAUAUAUUGAGAAAUUGAGUUUGAAUAAAGUUCUACUUUUGUAUUUCUAAUUAUAAA